rnacentral:rRNA from 1 species
GAUGAACGCUGGCGGCGUGCUUAACACAUGCAAGUCGAACGAGAACGGAAUAUAGCUUGCUAUAUUUGUCAGCUAAGUGGCGCACGGGUGAGUAAUGUAUAGAUAACCUGCCCUUAAGAAAGGAAUAACAGUUGGAAACGACUGCUAAUGCCCUAUAUGCCUUUAAUACAUAAGUAUGCAAGGGAAACGCUUUAGUGCUCAAGGAUGGGUCUGUAUGGUAUCAGCUUGUUGGUGAGGUAAUGGCUCACCAAGGCUAUGACGCCUAACUGGUUUGAGAGGAUGAUCAGUCACACUGGAACUGAGACACGGUCCAGACUCCUACGGGAGGCAGCAGUGGGGAAUAUUGCACAAUGGACGAAAGUCUGAUGCAGCAACGCCGCGUGGAGGAUGACACAUUUCGGUGCGUAAACUCCUUUUAUAUAGGAAGAUAAUGACGGUACUAUAUGAAUAAGCACCGGCUAACUCCGUGCCAGCCGCCGCAGUAA